GAUGAACGCUAGCGGCAGGCCUAACACAUGCAAGUCGAGGGAGAGGUUACCUUCGGGUAACCAAAACCGGCGCACGGGUGCGUAACGCGUAUACAAUCUGCCUUUCACAUAGGGAUAGCCCGAAGAAAUUUGGAUUAAUACCUAAUGGUAUAUAAGAGCGGCAUCGUUUUUAUAUUAAAGCUACGGUGGUGAAAGAUGAGUAUGCGUUCUAUUAGCUAGUUGGAGAGGUAACGGCUCCCCAAGGCGACGAUAGAUAGGGGUUCUGAGAGGGAUGUCCCCCACACUGGUACUGAGAUACGGACCAGACUCCUACGGGAGGCAGCAGUGAGGAAUAUUGGACAAUGGUCGGAGGACUGAUCCAGCCAUGCCGCGUGCAGGAUGAAGGUCCUAUGGAUUGUAAACUGCUUUUGUAAGGGAAGAAUAAGGAGUACGUGUACUUUGAUGACGGUACCUUACGAAUAAGCAUCGGCUAACUCCGUG
rnacentral:rRNA from 1 species